GUGAAGAAGUAUUUCGGUAUGUAAAGCUCUAUCAGCAGGGAAGAAAGACUCGUAAGAGAGAUGACGGUACCUGACUAAGAAGCCCCGGCUAACUACGUGCCAGCAGCCGCGGUAAUACGUAGGGGGCAAGCGUUAUCCGGAUUUACUGGGUGUAAAGGGAGCGCAGACGGUCAAGCAAGUCUGAAGUGAAACCCCACGGCUCAACCGUGGGCUUGCUUUGGAAACUGUUUGACUAGAGUACUGGAGAGGUAAGCGGAAUUCCUAGUGUAGCGGUGAAAUGCGUAGAUAUUAGGAGGAACAUCGGUGGCGAAGGCGGCUUACUGGACAGCAACUGACGUUGAGGCUCGAAGGCGUGGGGAGCAAACAGGAUUAGAUACCCUGGUAGUCCACGCGGUAAACGAUGAAUACUAGGUGUUGG
rnacentral:rRNA from 1 species